UCUUCCUAGCUAGGCGCACGUAUAGUUCGAUUGAUCGUGUUUAUUGACAUUGGUGGUCAAGGACAAGUUUGUUGAUUUACCAGUAGUUCAUUUCACGUUGAGUGUUUGUAGUCGCAUUUUAAAUCCCUUUUGGUGAUUUGGGGAAUGUUACAACGUUGAUAUCCGCGGGCGAACGCGAUGUCGUAGGGCAAUCAUUUUUGCAAUAAAUUGUGUUCUGCACGCACAUUUUCUCCAUUAUAUCUACCUGGUGUCCCCAACUAGAUGUUUACGCCGGCUGACGAUUCUCUUUCCUGCUUAGUCGGUCGUGCCCGGUAGUGUCGCGAGCACGUGUUUUGUUCGUAAGUCUAUCUGCAUAGUUAUCAGUGGUGUCAGGAUAAACAACGUUGGUGCCCAGAAGAAGUUUGUGAGUGCCCGAUCCAUGGAGUUUGCAAUAUCUAUAGCGGAAGUGUUGGAGAUGCGCGUACUUUAAGGCAAGUCUUUACUGCUACGGGAAUUGAUAGUCGUAAAUUGUUUUCUUGCUUAAAAACUAUGUACCUAUGUAUUUUUAAAAGUUAUUAAUAAAACACUUAUUACAUUUAUAA